rnacentral:rRNA from 1 species
CCUACGGGAGGCAGCAGUGAGGAAUAUUGGUCAAUGGACGAGAGUCUGAACCAGCCAAGUAGCGUGAAGGAUGACUGCCCUAUGGGUUGUAAACUUCUUUUAUAUGGGAAUAAAACGUUCCACGUGUGGGAUUUUGUAUGUACCAUAUGAAUAAGGAUCGGCUAACUCCGUGCCAGCAGCCGCGGUAAUACGGAGGAUCGGCGCGUUAUCCGGAUUUAUUGGGUUUAAAGGGGGCGUAGGUGGAUUGUUAAGUCAGUUGGGAAAGUUGGCGGCUCAACCGUAAAAUUGCCGUUGAAACUGGCAGUCUUGAGUACAGUAGAGGUGGGCAGAAUUCGUGGUGUAGCGGUGAAAUGCUUAGAUAUCACGAAGAACUCCGAUUGCGAAGGCAGUUCACUGGACUGCAACUGACACUGAGGCUCGAAAGUGUGGGUAUCAAACAGGAUUAGAUACCCUUGUAGUC